GUGCCAGCCGCCGCGGUAAUACCGGCAGCUCAAGUGAUGUCCCAUAUUAUUGGGCCUAAAGCGUCCGUAGCUGGCCGCGCAAGUCCAUCGGGAAAUCCACCCGCCCAACGGGUGGCCGUCCGGUGGAAACUACACGGCUUGGGACCGGAAGGCGCGACGGGUACGUCCAGGGUAGGAGUGAAAUCCCGUAAUCCUGGACGGACCGCCGAUGGCGAAAGCACGUCGCGAGAACGGAUCCGACAGUGAGGGACGAAAGCUAGGGUCUCGAACCGGAUUAGAAACCCCUGUAGUCC
rnacentral:rRNA from 1 species